CGGCGGACGGGUGAGUAAUGCUUAGGAAUCUGCCUAUUAGUGGGGGACAACAUUCCGAAAGGAAUGCUAAUACCGCAUACGUCCUACGGGAGAAAGCAGGGGAUCUUCGGACCUUGCGCUAAUAGAUGAGCCUAAGUCAGAUUAGCUAGUUGGUGGGGUAAAGGCCUACCAAGGCGACGAUCUGUAGCGGGUCUGAGAGGAUGAUCCGCCACACUGGGACUGAGACACGGCCCAGACUCCUACGGGAGGCAGCAGUGGGGAAUAUUGGACAAUGGGCGGAAGCCUGAUCCAGCCAUGCCGCGUGUGUGAAGAAGGCCUUUUGGUUGUAAAGCACUUUAAGCGAGGAGGAGGCUACCGAGAUUAAUACUCUUGGAUAGUGGACGUUACUCGCAGAAUAAGCACCGGCUAACUCUGUGCCAGCAGCCGCGGUAAUACAGAGGGUGCGAGCGUUAAUCGGAUUUACUGGGCGUAAAGCGUGCGUAGGCGGCUUUUUAAGUCGGAUGUGAAAUCCCUGAGCUUAACUUAGGAAUUGCAUUCGAUACUGGGAAGCUAGAGUAUGGGAGAGGAUGGUAGAAUUCCAGGUGUAGCGGUGAAAUGCGUAGAGAUCUGGAGGAAUACCGAUGGCGAAGGCAGCCAUCUGGCCUAAUACUGACGCUGAGGUACGAAAGCAUGGGGAGCAAACAGGAUUAGAUACCCUGGUAGUCCAUGCCGUAAACGAUGUCUACUAGCCGUUGGGGCCUUUGAGGCUUUAGUGGCGCAGCUAACGCGAUAAGUAGACCGCCUG
rnacentral:rRNA from 1 species